rnacentral:tRNA from 1 species
AGGGUUGUAGUUAAUUAAUAACAUCUGGUUUGCAUCUAGAAGGUACCUGCUAAGGUCUACCUUA